CGCGUAGGCGGAUUUAUAAGUCUGGUGUGAAAUACCGUGGCUCAACCACGGUGCUGCAUCGGAAACUAUAAGUCUUGAGGGUAGGCGGAGAAAACGGAAUUCCAAGUGUAGCGGUGAAAUGCGUAGAUAUUUGGAAGAACACCGGUGGCGAAAGCGGUUUUCUAGCUUAUUCCUGACGCUGAGGCGCGAGAGCAAGGGGAGCAAACA
rnacentral:rRNA from 1 species